rnacentral:lncRNA from 1 species
CGGCCCGACCCUGCGCGUUGUCGCCCGCGCCACCCGCUCGCCCGCCCGGCUCGCUCGGAUCGCCGCCACGCGUGGAGUCACAGCCCCGGAACCGCCACCGCCGCCGCCGCCGGUGCCGGCGGCCCCUCAAUUCCUGCGGCGCGCCCGGCCAUCUUCGUUCCUCCGCGCGGCCCGGUCGGGAGGGGCGGGGCGCGCGCAGUCCCCGCCCUCUCCCGCUGCUCCGCCCCCUCCUCUCGGUCCCCCUCGGCUGCACCUCCUGUCUUUGCUGCUAGCCUUGCAGUCUCCCUCCGCUGCUCCGCCUCCAAGCUCCCCCGGGGCUCCUCCGCUACCCGCUCCUCUACCCCCGAGCCCCCCCCUCCUCCUGCGGCGGCUCCCCCGGCUCCCCCGCCCGCGGGGCCCUUUCCCCCCCCCCCACUCCCAGCCGCUGCUCCUCCUUCUCCUUCCCCUCCCGCCCCGCGCGCUCCUCCCUCUUCCCAUUCCACCACCUCCCUCCUCCGGCCUCGCCGGGAAACCGCGCGGGGGCCAGGAUGGGCGCCGCCGCGUCCGUCCGCCCCCGGGCCACCACGGAGAGGAAGGAGGGCCGGGAGGACGGCACCCCACCCGAGCUGCAGACACGGCCCGCCUGGGGCUGACUCCUGGGACCCAAACAAUUCCCGGGGGAGAGGGCGGUCACCUCAUUUUACCCGUUCCCAGGCCUUGGAGGUCUGGGGGCCUCCCUUCUACUCACUUGGGGCGGGGGGGGGGGGACAUGUGCCUUGGGUCUCCCGAAUACCCGAGAUGGUCCCGCGAAGUGGGGUAAAGCCCCGGAGGGGAGGCCGAGGGAGCUCGGGUAGCUGGAUGAGGUACCAGUGGCCAGUCAUCUUGGGUGGAGCUGGGAGGACACACCUGGAAGCGGGGAGCCGGGUAGGUGGCCACUUAUGCAUCCCUGCCAGGAGAGCCCCAGAAGGGCUGAUCCGGAGUCCCCGCUCUGGGCCAGGCCCCCUGACCUGCCUUGAGCUCUUCCACCUUCCAGAGCGGAGGUUCUGA